UACGCUCCACUUAGUUAAAAAUGUAGCGAAAAGAUGAUUUUUCCCUUUCCAUUUAAAAGGCGUCUUUCGUCUGUAUUUCUAGGUUUCUUUCUAUCAAUGUUUCUCUUUCUCUCGUCUGUGUUCGUUUUUCUUGUUAAAUUUUCAGAUUUCUCUAACGGAAGAACAACAGUCUUUUUUUUCGACAAGGUUUAGUAUCCAUUACAGGUAUGAUUUUAGUAUUUCACAUUUUUUCUAUGCUUCAAUUUGCCUAUUAUGCGGUAAUAUAAUGAUGGUUUUUCUAUUUUUGUUGAUGUUCUGUAUGUUUAGUCUAAUCAUGUUUAAUGUUUAAAGUAAAGGCAAUUAGUUUAAACCCUAGUAUUUCAUUGAUUAGUGGUAAAAUUACUAGUUUUUAUGGUUUAAUUUGUGUUAUUGGAGCUUUAAACUCUCAUUUUUUGUUAUAAUUUAUUUCUAUAUGUGUUUUUGGAUUAAUUGUGAUGAAUCUAAUGAUGAUGAAAUAUUGCAUUGUUCAAAACUUCAUAUUUUGAAGUAUUCCGAAGUAAGCUCUUUUCAGAGGCUAACUUAAGAGACAUGAUUUUUAAAGUAUUUUGAAGUUAGCUCAUAGGCUAACUUCAGAUAUAUAAUUCAUGAAGUUAUAUAUGUUUAUUCUGUGAUUUCUUGUGAGGUUUUUUGGUUUAUGUUUUGUACAUAUGUUUAUUUUAAUCAUGUUUGGUGUUUAAAAAAAGACGAAUAGUUUAGACCCUUGUCUUUCAUUGAUUGUUUUUAGGGUUUAACUUGUUUUAGGUUUUGAUGCAUGUUGUAGUUUCAAGCUAUCAUUUUGUGUGAUACUUUAUUUCUGUGGGUGUUUUUGGAUUUUUGUAAUAAAGCUAAUGAUGAUGAAGUAUGACAUUGUUCAAAACUUCAUAUUCUGAAGUAUUCUGAAGUAAGUUCUUUCCGGAGGCUAUCUUCAGAGACAUGAUUCAUGAAGUGUUUAGAAAUUAGCUCUUUUCAGAGGUUAAAUUCAUAUAAAUGUUUUUAUGAAGUUAUAUAUGUUUAUUCUGUGAUUUCUUGUAAGGUAUGGUUGUGUUGAACAUUGUAGUAUUUUCUUAAAAUGAUGGCACUUAGAAGCCAAGAAAGUAGCGUAUAUGAAGCUGGUAGAGAGCAAGGACGAGGAGGAGAAGAGGACGAAUAAAGAGAGGUACAAGAAGGCCAAGAAGGAGGCGAAGCUAGCGGUUACAUCGGCUACGACUGUAGCGUUUAGACAUUUGUAUGAAUAUCUUAGGGAUAAAGGUGGGGACAAGAAGCUGUACAGACUAACCAAGGCGAGAAAAAGGAAGGCCCAUGACCGAGACCAAGUGAAGUGCAUCAAAGAUGAGGAAGGCAGAGUAUUAGUGGAAGAGGCACAUAUUAGACGUAGAUGACAAACAUACUUCCAUAAAUGCCUAGAUAAGGAGGGGAAAGAGUCAUUGAGUUGGGUGAUUUGGAGUACUUCGAGAGUCGUCGAGAUUUUAGUUAUUGUAGGUGUAUAAGAAUUGAGGAGGUCGAGGGGGCUAUGCAUAAGAUGAGUAGGGAAAGAGCGAGUGGGCCAGACGAGAUCCCGGUGGAAGUUUUGGAAGAGUGUGGGUAUGGAAAACUUGGAAUGGCUCACUCGGUUAUUUAACAACAUUUUUAGGACGAAGAAGAUGCCUGAAGAAUGGAGGUAGAGUACGAUAAUUUCGCUGUAUAAGAAUAAGGGUGAUAUACAAAAUUAUAACAAACUAUAGGGGUAUCAAGGUGCUGAGCCAUACUGUAAAAGUUUGGGAGAGUGUGAUGGAAGCAAGGGUGAGAAGGAGUGUAUCUAUUUCUGAAAAUCAGUUCGAAUUCAUGUCGGGGUGUUCGUCUACGGAAGCCAUUCACCUUGUAAGGAGGUUGGUGGAGCAGUAUAAGGAAGAGGAAGAUGGACUUACAUAUGGUGUUCAUUGACCUAGAGAAAGCAUACGCCAAACUCCCAAGGGAGGUUCUAUAGAGAUUCUUGGACGUUAGAGGUGUUCAUAUUGCUUACACUACAGUGAUUAAGGACAUGUAUGAUGGAUCUAAAAGCCAGGUAAGGAUAGUGGGGGAGGGGGUCUCGGAACACUUUACAGUUAUGAUGGAGUUGCAUCAGGGGUCAGCUCUUAGCCCGUUCUUAUUUGCAUUCGCGAUGGACACACUGACGCAACACAUUCAAGGGGAGGUGCCUUGGUGUAUAUUAUAUGCAUAUGAUAUUGGAUUGAUUGAUUAGACACAAGGUAGUUUAAAUGAGAAACUAGAGGUCUGGAGACAAACCCUGGAGUCUAAAGGUUUCAAGUUGAGUAGGACCAAGACAGAAUACUUGGAGUGCAAGUUUAGUGACAGGCCCAAUGAAGAGGAUGUGGACGUGAGGCUUAAUACACAAGUUAUCCCUAGGAGAGAUAGUUUUAAGUAUCUUGUGUCUAUUAUCUAAGAAAAUAGGGAGAUUGAUGGGGAUUUUGCACAUCGUAUCGGAGCAAGGUGGGUGAAAUAGAGACUCGCAUCUGGUGUGUUAUGUGAUAAGAACGUACCACCUAAAUUUAAAGGUAAGUUCUACAGAGUGGUUGUUAAACCAAUUAUGUUGUAUGGGGCAGAGUGUUGGCCAGUCAAGAACUUUCAUGUUCGGAAGAUGAGAGUAGCAUAAAUGAAGAUGUUGAGAUAGAUGUGCGGGCAUACCAGGAUGGAUAAGAUUAGGAAUGAAUAUGUUCGGGCCACGGUAGGAGUGCUCCGGUGGAAGACAAGAUGCGGGAAGCAAGGCUUAGAUGGUUUGGGCAUGUGAAAAGGAGGAGCGCAAAUGCCUCGGGGAGGAGGUGUGAGAGGUUGUCCCUGGUGGGUUUGAGGAGAGGCAAAGGUAGUCCAAAGAAGUAUUCGGGAGAGGUGAUUAGGCAAGAUAUGACGUUGCUUCAGCUUACCGAGGACAUGACACUUGACAGGAAGGUAUGGAGGUCAAGAAAUAAGGUAGAAGGCUAGUAGGUUGUCGAAAGUAUCUCUUUUACAUACCAGUAGCAUUAGUGUUAGUCCGGUGCGAUAUUAUUGUUAGAUAUCUAGUUUUAUGUGUUGUCCUCUUUACUUCGUUAUCUUGUUGUUGUUAAUGCUUAUGCUACUACUUUAUUUUCAUCUUGCCUUGAACGGAGGAUCUAUCAGAAACAUCCUCUCUACCUACCAGGUAUGAUAAGAUCUGCGUACACACUAUCCUCCCCAAACCCUACUUAUGAGAUUAUAUUGUAUUUGUUGUUGUUGUUGUAAUAUAUCAGUGUAAUCCUUAUAGAUCCCAUCUGAUGGGUCACAACUUGAACUAAGUUCUAAGAGGAGAAAGUUAUCCCCCCAUGUCACUGAUAUCCCUCAAUUCGAUAUUUGUUCAUUUUCACUUGGCACUACAAGAGAGCCCUGUAGAAGGCGAAUCUUCUUUUGUUGCUACUCAAGUAACAAAAUAAUGUCAUACGCAAGAGGUUGUUGCAGAGCAAUUUGUUGCUAUGUGUGUGGAUGGUUCAGCUGCAUCUGAAGCAACGAUUUAAGUUGAUACCGAACAACAGCAGGAUGAAGCACAUCCAAUACCAGCUGAAGUAGGUGCUUUAGGGAAAAAGAAUUGCAAUCUCAGUCAUUGGUUGAGAAUCUAUAUGUCACUCAUAAGACAAAGAUAAAGGGUGCAUAUACGAAAAAAGAUAAGCAUGUAAGACGAUGUUCAUUCCAUUAUGUGAAGCAAGAUAAACAAAUAUUGCAGAGAUUUACAAAAUGGUUGAAGGCGAGCAAGCGGGAACAUGAGUGUACGUUCAAUUUGGGUUCACUCACAUUGGAUAAGUCGUUCCUUUUAGAACUUACAUACCCUAACUUUGAUCUUGUGGACAAGGUAUGUGACCGGAUCCUAAAUUAGUUGUACACUUCAGAUGUCAUACUUUAUGUUUUCUUUUAUGUAUAUGUUUCUAAUAUUUUCUAUUUUUUUGCUCUGUUGAGCAUAUCGAUAUUGGGGUAUACUAUUAGCACAAUAAAAAUUGCUAUCACCUUUUGGAUUAUCCAUAAUCAAAAUGCACUACAACUGAUUUGGUUUUCAAUAAGUUUGUGGUCAAACUUGCUAUAGAGUGUUCGUUAGAAGAGGAUAAGAAGAAACUUGUGUCUAAGCAGUUAAAGAGUAAACCAAAGACGAAGAGGGGUAGGAAGAAAGAAGUUGAGGUAGGUGUACCCAUACAACCAAAUGAACUUAAUGAAUUCACUUGGUUUGAAGAAGAAUUAACUAGGCAUAAGACGGCUAAUUAUAUAAUAAGCAUUGAACACUCAUGUUUAAUCUCGUGGGUUUAUGUCGAUAGAGUGUUUAUUUCAAUUGUCUUGAUCAAAUAGCUGAAGAUCAAUUAUAAACUCAUUACUUGUUGGGAGUGUUGGAAUUUAAAACAAAAACAAUAUAUGUGUAUGACUCCUUACACAAUAAACCGUACGAGAGGGCAAUAAAGCUCAUCAAACGUUUUGCUCGACUUAUCCCACAUAUGCUCAAAUGUAUGAAUUUUUGUGGUGAACAUAAAGACUACAAAAACGAUGUUACUGAAUUUGAGAUCAAGUGAAUGGUUACACCCCAACAGGAGAACAAUUUUGAUUUCGGUGUAUUCACCCUCAAGUUUAUUGCAUUGUUGAUCAAGCAGGAAGAUGUUCACAAAUUCCAACAGAGUGAUGCUUCUCUUCAGAAAAUAAUUGGUUGUCAACCUGCUCUUCAGAAGUAGAUUCUGCGAUCACGAAGGGUAUCACUGGACAAACCCUUAAGUACUCUAUUUUGAGGGUUUUGGUUAUUUUAUCACAUUUUAAGAUCUAGAGCUCAGAUUUGGGUGAUUUUAGAGGGAAUUUUCACUAUUUGGAUUGGGGUAAGUGUUAUUGACUCGGAUUUGUUUAUUAUUCAUCCUUGAUUUUAGCGUU